GUCUUAAGGAAAUGAUGAUAGUCCGUCUGAAGGGGACGAUAAAUGGCUGACCCGUGUUAAGAGAGAGCCAUAUCUCUUGCAUGUUAAAGACACCCUUGUAGAUUUCGAAAAAGAGUAGGCUAAUGCCGCUACAAGGCAGCACUCGCACCCGCAAAGUGGAAAGGGAUUAAUAUAAGUUGCAAAACUUGUUUCCCAAUCCACUAUAAAUAAAUAUGUUUAAACUAAUGC
rnacentral:lncRNA from 1 species